AGCAGCCGCGGUAAUUCCAGCUCCAAUAGCGUAUAUUAAAGUUGUUGCAGUUAAAAAGCUCGUAGUUGAAUUUCGGGAUCAAUAUGUCGGUCGUGCCUUGGUACGUACUGGUAUCAUUGGUCUCUCCUUUCUGACGAACCAUGAUGUCAUUAAUUUGGUGUUAUGGGAAGUUAGGACUGUUACUUUGAAAAAAUUAGAGUGUUUAAAGCAGGCUCAUGCUUGAAUACAUUAGCAUGGAAUAAUGAAAUAGGACGUUUGAUUCUAUUUUGUUGGUUUCUAGGAUCGACGUAAUGAUUAAUAGGGAUAGUUGGGGGCUUAGUAUUCAAUUGUCAGAGGUGAAAUUUUUUGGAUUUAUUGAAGACUAACUACUGCGAAAGCAUUUGCCAAGGAUGUUUUCAUUAAUCAAGAACGAAAGUUAGGGGAUCGAAGACGAUCAGAUACCGUCGUAGUCUUAACCAUAAACUAUGC
rnacentral:rRNA from 1 species